rnacentral:rRNA from 1 species
GACGAACGCUGGCGGCGUGCUUAACACAUGCAAGUCGAACGGUAAGGCCCUUCGGGGUACACGAGUGGCGAACGGGUGAGUAACACGUGGGUGAUCUGCCCUGCACUUCGGGAUAAGCCUGGGAAACUGGGUCUAAUACCGGAUAGGACCCUGGGAUGCAUGUCCUGGGGUGGAAAGCUUUUGCGGUGUGGGAUGGGCCCGCGGCCUAUCAGCUUGUUGGUGGGGUGAUGGCCUACCAAGGCGACGAGGGGUAGCCGGCCUGAGAGGGUGACCGGCCACACUGGGACUGAGAUACUGCCCAGACUCCUACGGGAGGCAGCAGUGGGGAAUAUUGCACAAUGGGCGCAAGCCUGAUGCAGCGACGCCGCGUGAGGGAUGACGGCCUUCGGGUUGUAAACCUCUUUCAGCACCGACGAAGCGCAAGUGACGGUAGGUGCAGAAGAAGGACCGGCCAACUACGUGCCAGCAGCCGCCGUAA